CAUCUUUAGCGCUUUCCGUUCAGUGUCGCCGUUCUCACUUUUUUUUUUUUAAUAGAUUUUUAUAUGACACACAUAAUUACAGAAACUUUAGCGUUUUGUUAAAACUCUCGAGACCAUGGUUACUGAAAGAGUUAUUCUGGAUGUCGCACAAUUUCGCCUUUUAAAUAUACUGUUAUGAACUUAUAACGCUAGAAUUCGUUGCAUUUGUUAUUAUGGAUUUCUGCGGUAUGGCAAUACGUUUAACAUGACGUGACACUUGUGCUGUGUUGCUCUCCAAGGAAACCGGUAUGUACAGUUUCUAGCUUUUUUUCCAUCUCUCUCUUUGCAUCACUUGAGUUUCACAACUAAUCCACGAAGUUUGCGGGGCUAUUUUUUGAACGCGCCCACGGUAAACACUGUGUGCUUCGGGACCUUUUGGAUGAUGCUCAGAGAACCAGCACUAAUGUUCUACUACUACUUAUUGGAAAUUGUCAGAACAUGAUGGAUGUGGAUCAUCAUGCUUUGCAGAAGGCUGGGGAGAAGUUUGCAUUCAUUUUAUAAAAAGCUAUUUUUCAAUUUGGAAAUGGCCGCCGCUGACAGAAGUAAUGAGUCGGAGGGGGGAAAAACUCAAUCUCGAUAGCGCACGCACAGCAGCCAUUUGUUUCCCACAAGUGGAGCCGAUAGGUGGGGGAUGCUUGGAAAUGUCACGAGGAGGACAGGCCUUGAUUACUGCAGUUUUUACUAUAGCGAUUAAACCAGAAGUGGAGUUUUGAAAAGAAGUUCAUUAACAUUUCUCAAAUGAGCAGGACAGACAGUGAUAGAGAGGAGGAAACCGAAAGGAGAAGGGGCUCGUGAUAUAGCAAAAGUAAUUUUUCCUGAGUGUGAGUUGGCUUUGCAUAGCAUGGUUCACUUGCUUGAGUUCUUCAAUGAAGUAUAACAUCAGGUAGAAUGGCCCAUCACCUACAACUCAUGGUUCAUGUUUGCCCUCUGGGAGGUAAAAUGUACUUGACCGGACCUAAUUUAUACCAUCCAAUAAAACAGUCAACUCAUCAUGUCCUUUUGACCUCCCCAGCACUACCCUACAAGCCCGAUUACUUGUUUUAUGGCACAGAUUAUAUUGAGUUCAGUCCAUUUAAUCAACAUAUGCGUCAAAAGCAACCAAUCUGCUUAUUAUUCAAAGAUCUGGUUGGGGCCAGGUUAGGGCAACUCCAGUACCAAUAACAUUUGGACUUAUAAACUUUUACGGCCAAUAAAUUAUGAAUUAUGAAUCCAAACACUGUAAAGCUGCUAUGGGUAUAAUCAUUCUUUUUAAGGUUGUUAUUAGGUGACUUUGAAAUUGUUUUACCAUGUGUUGAUAUGCAAUUAUUGUACAUUCAUCGCUGUCAUGAAAAUCAAACACUGAAUAAAGGUAGAUAUUUCCA
ensembl:lncRNA